GAGCCUGCGGCCCAUCAGCUAGUUGGUAGGGUAACGGCCUACCAAGGCAAAGACGGGUAGCUGGUCUGAGAGGAUGAUCAGCCACACUGGAACUGAGACACGGUCCAGACUCCUACGGGAGGCAGCAGUGGGGAAUCUUGCGCAAAUGGGGCGAAAGCCUGACGCAGCGACGCCGCGUGAGCGAUGAAGGCCUUCGGGGUUGUAAAAGCUCUGUGGAGGGGGACGAAUAAGGGCACGCUAAUACCGUGUUUGAUGACGGUACCCCUUUAGCAAGCACCGGCUAACUCUGUGCCAGCAGCCGCGGUAAGACAGAGGGUGCAAACGUUGUUCGGAAUUACUGGGCGUAAAGCGCGUGUAGGCUGUUCGGAAAGUCGGAUGUGAAAGCCCCCGGGGCUCAACCCCGGGAAGUGCAUUCGAAACUUCCGAGCUGGAGUCCUGGAGAGGAAGGCG
rnacentral:rRNA from 1 species